GGAAGGUAGCCGGAUACGGUUUGCCGGGCCGCACUGCUAAUGCGUGCCUCCUUACGGGGAUGUGGGUUCGAAUCCCAUGCCUUCCG
rnacentral:tRNA from 1 species